CUUGGACUCGGAGGACAUUAUCGAGUUCUUGAACGGGUUGUAGCUGGCCUUCCGAGGCAUGUGCACGCCCUGCUCAAUCCACUCUACACCUGUGCACUUACUGUAGGUUUCUUGGUUGCGUUGGGUCUCUUCACUGGGGCUCGGCAAAGCCGAGGGGCUUAUGUCUUACUACAAACUAUAAAGUAAAUGAAUGUAUACCGCGUCUAACGCAUCUAUAUACAACUUUCAGCAACGGAUCUCUUGGCUCUCGCAUCGAUGAAGAACGCAGCGAAAUGCGAUAAGUAAUGUGAAUUGCAGAAUUCAGUGAAUCAUCGAAUCUUUGAACGCACCUUGCGCUCCUUGGUAUUCCGAGGAGCAUGCCUGUUUGAGUGUCAUGAAAUUCUCAACCUACAAGCCUUUUCGGAGGUCCUUGUACGGCUUGGACUUGGAGGGUCAUUGUCGGCAGUGAUGUCGGCUCCUCUUAAACGCAUUAGCUAGUUCUCGCGGAACGGCUUUCGGUGUGAUAAUUGUCUACGCCGUGGUCGUGCCGGGUAUAUGGACAAGCUUCUAAACCGUCACUCCUUGUGAGGGACACAUAUCUUGACAUCUGACCUCAAAUCAGGUAGGACUACCCGCUGAACUUAAGCAUAUCAAAAAGGGGGGAAGAAAG
rnacentral:rRNA from 1 species